AAGCAACCUCAAGGAAGAGAGAAAGAAAAUAACAGAGAUGAGAAAGUGGGAAGAGAAGAAAGAGGAGAAGAAAAGAUUUCUAUGCAUUCAAGAAAGAAGAGAAGACAGAUUUUUAUGGAGAGAACAGAAGCUAGAAUCGCAUUGAUCACACCCAACCAAACCGAGAAGACGUUUAUCCAACCCAUUCAUCACACAAGACUUUUCAUAUCUAUCUAACCAUAAACAUGUAUUUAUUACUCAAGACAACCAUAAUCUCAUUUCUAUCUAACCACCUAAACCUCUAUUUAUUACCUAACCAAACACUAACCCACGAUUCAAUUCAUUUCAAACAAGGAUAACCACCAACAACAAACGCAACAUUAAUUACAAACCACCAGAAAGAUAAACAAUGCUAUGCUUUAUCCAAUUCAACAGAGUAAAGGUUUUAUCCAAUUCAACAGAGUAAAGGUUUUACCUGUAUGAAGAAUCGCGGGGGUUUUGUCCGACGAACCUGGAUCAUGCUUCUUCUUCAUCUAUCCAUCUCAUUCUCCUCAGACAUCUCAAGACAAAAACACAGAAAAAAAUCAACACAAAUCAAAGGAUUCAACUUCUUAAUUACCGAUGAGGAAACACAAUGAAAGACAAGCAUAAUUGAAAUAUUCAAACUUGAUUCUACUUCUUCAGAUUAACGAUGAAGGAACACA
rnacentral:lncRNA from 1 species